GUCUAUGGCCAUGCUGCCCUGAACAAACCCGAUGUCUGAUCUCGGAAGCUAAGUAGGGUCCAGCCUGGGCAGUACUUGGAUGGGAGACCACCUAGGAAGACCAGGUGCUGUAGGCG
rnacentral:rRNA from 1 species